UUACAUUAAACAAUAUGAAGUCCAAAAGAAUUUUUUUUUCAAAUUUUGUUUUUUAGUACACAUUAUCGAUAUAGGACGCGUGCCAGCUACAGCCUUAGAAGACGCUGUUGUUAUGGAUACACAGGAAGUUACUGUGAUAAUCCAAUAUGCAGCUGCAAAAACGGUGGUAUUUGUAUAGCCCCUAAUGUUUGCAGUUGUCCAGUAGGAUACGCAGGAAUCUUAUGCCAAACACUAAGAUGUCAUCCUGCUUGCCAGCAUGGACACUGUGUCAGCCCAGACAGAUGUAGCUGUAACUUUGGAUAUACGGGAGCUGCUUGCUCUCAGCCUAUAUGCAAUCCACCGUGCCAAUCAGGGGGAACAUGUGUAAGCAUAAACACCUGUCAAUGUCCAUCAAAUCAAGCAGG